UCGAACGUUUCUCGGUAGGCACAAAUCAGUGGAAGAUGAGCUAGUUAUUGAUCGAGGCAGAGUUAUGGAGAGUGUUGUGAGAAUACUUAAUUAAUGAGAUUAUUUGACCUUUUUCUGAUCAGUUCUAUGGAGACUUUGCGACUUUCACCUGGCACCACUCUGUUCACUAGACGAGACGAUGCCUCGGAUAACAACAUGAUGGAGAGCCAAGUUUGCACAUUUUUUAAUGGUCAUUUCAUGGUCGUUUCCACUUUCCUCGUCGACCAGAAAUGUAACGACGCCAUUACAUUAAUAGAAGCAGACAGGCGAUAGACGAUAAGUAUACAAUAAAUCCAGAUCUAUACUGUGUAACCGGGUCAUGUUAUAGUUUAUGGCGUGCUGCAAUCUUUUCAAUCAGUAACUCAUCUUCACCUGAUCAGUUCCAACUUCUAUUGAUCGGAGGACUCCCUUAGGUCGGAAAUAGUCCUACGCUGGACCUCACCGGUGAUUUCACGACCGUGGGUGUGCUUAAAUACCGCCAAAAUGG